rnacentral:lncRNA from 1 species
ACCAGCUUCCAGGUGACCGAGAGGAAGCAGCAAGGAUCCUGCGGUUCCAGUGGCUUCCAUCUGCCACCUUCCAAGGGAGGGGAGGGACAAACUUCCAUCCACCCCAGACAACCAGAAUGUGCAGGGCCCUGAAUGCCAGGACGGGAAUUUAAUCUAAUUCAACUUCAGCAAUGGGCUGAGGGACAGCUUCAUGCCAGGCAAAGGGAAAAACUCUUUACACACAGGAUUGCCUUUGCUUUCAUUCAAUCCCCGCAACAACAUGUGUGCAAACCUCCCACCUGGCAUCCUGCGUGUGUCCAGCACCUCCCUGCACCCGGGCACCACUCAUGCAGGUGGGCUUGGCAUCCUCACAGCCUCUGCAGCACGUGCCUUCAGAGGGAAGAGAACCGGGGACUCGGGAGACUCAAGGCAUCUCCAGAGUCACAGCCUGAAGACAGAACCCCAUGCUCUCCUGGACAUAAAAGCCAUGCGGUCCCUGGUAGACAGGAUCCCCUCCAAGCAUUUUCCAAAGCCCGAGGGGCUGCUUACAAGACUCUGCCCAUCACCCCCAACCUGGCUGAUCUGGGACCACAUCAGCACCUGGCCUGACUCUUCUACCAGGAUGCCCUCCAAGACCAACACUGAUGCCUUAGUCACCCUCACCAGGGAGGCUGGGGGUGCCCCCACAUGGCUGCUGCACCUGAUGUUGGAAACGGAGGCUCCAAAAACGUGAGAAAACCGAGGCCCGGAAAGUGUCAACCCAAAUCACGACACUCCUUGCCCCAAACCCAGAAGCCUGAGGAAGUAAGGAAGUGCGGUGGGAUCUGUCUUCCCGUGUGUCUUCAGGAUCCUGGGGCCUGCCCCUCCUGGCUUCCUCUUGAGGAAGGCCUCAGAAGACCCGCCUUUGGUCACAGGACAGAAGCUGGGCCAAGAGGCAAAGGUUUUGGCCGCCACAGGGGAAACUCUGGGCUCAGAGCUGCCGAAGUGACUCACGGGCCCUGCUGGGAAGCAGCUGACGUUCCUUGUCUGCGCCUUACAAAACCACACGGGCUGCGAGUGACAGCUGGCUGCUCUGAGUGGCGGAGGAAUGUUGUUGCCAGACAGGUUCCUGAGGCAUCUGCUGAGCUGUGCUCCAGAAACCAGCCCUGGGCAGCUGCCACACCAGGCAGCCUCCACCCCUCCCCACAACCAGGAGUCUUGGAGGGCACCCCCACCAACCUCAACAGAACUCUCCCCUCAGGGAUCCGUGGAAGUCAGCCACUGCCACAGGGACAGCCACCCCUUCCAGGCAGGAGCUCAUGGGAAACCAAGACCAGGGAACCCAUCCCACCCCCAGUAAGACUUGAGGCCAGGGAGGUUGGAGGGGUCUCCCUGUGACCAAAUCUGUGGCCAUCACAACCGACCUUGAACCAUAAUACUAAGAAUGAUAACAAUAAUAAUCACAGCUAACCCUUCACACUCA